GGUCUGAUCGUAUAACGGUUAGUACACAAGAUUCUGAUUCAGCGAGUCGUUCUUGUAAUCUGGGUUCGAUUCCCAGUCGGACCU
rnacentral:tRNA from 2 species